rnacentral:lncRNA from 1 species
AUGGCAGAACAGCUGGCGAGUGUACCCUUUCUGCAGAAAGUAAAAAUGCCCUUGCUGAGGAAAUUAAAUUUAUGUUCAAGUAAAUUUCUUUAUGGCACUGGGAAACAAGCAUUUCUAACAAUUUUGGUGGAAAUCCGUACAUGGAUACGUUCUCUUCUGGGGGCGGUCUCCAGUCCUUUCUCAUGAGGGAGCACACUCCUCUGCCUCAUUGCAGUGGCCUCAGGGAUAUGGAAUUAAGAUCCACCUGGUGUGAUGAAUAAACCCAGACUCUCAGCAACGCAGGAAAAAAAAAACAAAAACUGGCUGGCGAUCUGGAGUAAAGGAUCCUCACAUCCACGUGAACCAGGAAACUCUGUGCCCAAAUCGACGAAAAAAAAACACUGGGAGAGCCGAACUAAAAGUCUUUUAGCACGGGUACCAGCCCUAGAAUUUCCAGUACACCAGCAGCAGCCUGGAAACCACAUCCUCAUCAAAAGACAGAAAGAAAAAAACUCGAGCCAGCCUGAGAAGGACCCUAUUUUAUGCUGUUAACCACUGAGACUGCCAUCCUCACAGCUGAGAAAGGAUGGACCCACCAUACUCAAGUCAAGAAAACAUCUUCCUCGUCAGAAUCAUGGGUUACUGUACUAGGAUUAAGCCUUACUAAGUUAAAGUUAAAGAAAGCUUAAUUUUCAUAUACCUUCUAUAUUGCUUCUUUUCCUUUCCUUAUUCUGUUACUAGCUCCUUUGUUAUUAAUGUAACUAAGUCUGAGUCACCUCAGACCAUUGCCUUUUAUGCUUGCUCUGUCAUACCUUGUGGAAAUGUAAAAGAUCAAUGACAGCUAGCCUUUUCACACAAUUAUUUAUGCCUCGGCCCUCUAAUUGACACAGUUACCCCUAGCACUCAUCGUUGUGAUCACCUGCAGCCAAGACGCUGAUUUUCUGCUCCUAUAGCCUGGCAACCUUGUGGUACAUGGGACUACGUCCUUUAAACUACCCAGGAGCAAAGUUGGACUUCCAUGAAAAAGGUUUGUGCAGAUCUAAAACCUCUCAUCUAUUUCACUAAAAGGACUUCCCCUUCUAACUGUCACCCUUACCAAUGUAACCCUGUCCUCUCUAUCACCACCUCCACCUGUCUUUAACUAACUCUAGACCUGUCCUUAAUUGCUUUUAUGGUAUUGGAAUAGGAAUUAAAAGAAAUUAAAGAAUGUGUAAGGAGAAACUCAGUUGUAUGUAAGAAAACCCAAUUCCCCCUGAGAAAGAGAAAGAGUUGGAGUCCUUUAAAAAUUAACUGCCUGUUUUUCUGUGGCUAGUGAGCCUUAUCUCUCCUCCUUUCCCAGACAUUGUGAAGACCCUGUUUCUCUAGCUGUGCAGCUGCAAGGUCACUAGACAGAUAAACUCAAGUUGUAAAACAUGUUUUUCCUUGAAAAGUAAGAAAUGCUGUAAUGCAUUUCUCAAUUAAUUAAAUAACUGUCUUUGUUUCUCGCUUCUGUAAUAUGCUUCCCCCUGCACAGAUCUCCACCCACCCUACAAAAUGCUUAAAAGGUAACUUAACUCUUUGUUCUGGGCUCAGUCCUUUGGGCUGAGUACUGGGCCGGUGCACCUAAAUAAUAAAUAUCUUCCUGAACCCCAUUUGUCU